rnacentral:lncRNA from 1 species
CUCAGGACUCCUCCUGGCUGGCCAUCAGUUGAGCCCCUAGCGAGGAAUCUGCUUUACCCAAGGCUACAGACUCCAUCCUGCUUGGUGAGGUGAAGAAGGCAAGCUCGCACUCCCCACCUACUCUGCAGGCCUGCUGCUGCCUUCAGGAUUAUUCCCAGCAGAUGGGAUGAUUUCUGGCCCACAUGGAGCCACAGAGGCACUUGCUGUGGGGACCCCAGGGACAACAGGAGUGGAAGAGGCCAGUCCAGAAAACAACUUCUGCUGAUCAUUGUUGGGGAGUUGGACUACAGACUGAUGUAAGGCUCUCUGCUCUGCUCCAGUGCCAUAUCGGUCUACCUCCCAUCACGAGUAACUAACCUGUACAACAAGCAAGUCCAGAAUUAAAUGCUUUCUGGUUCCAAUGUAGACUGAAAACUGGCAGCUCUUUUGUGACUUCCCUAGGAUUCAUGUUGUGGCUUGAACAACUGCUGGACCCUUGGCCACCGUUGGACUGCAGCAGUUCUUAACCUUCCUAAAUGGGGGACCCUUUAAUACAGCUCACGUUGAUGUGAUCCCCCAGCCAUAAAGUUUUCAUUGCUACUUCA